rnacentral:rRNA from 1 species
UAUGCAUUGUGUGCCAGCAGCCGCGGUCAUACGGAGGAUGCGAGCGUUCUCCGGCUUUCUUGGGUUUCAAGGGAGCGUAGACGGGUUUUUAAGUCAGCUGUGCAAGUUUGGGGCUCAACCUUAAAAUUGCAGUUGAAACUGGAGACCUUGAGUACGGUUGAGGCAGGCGGAAUUCGUGGUGUAGCGGUGAAAUGCUUAGAUAUCACGAAGAACCCCGAUUGCGAAGGCAGCCUGCUAAGCCGCCACUGACGUUGAGGCUCGAAAGUGCGGGUAUCAAACAGG